rnacentral:snRNA from 1 species
GUGCUUGCUUCGGCAGCACAUAUACUAAAAUUGGAAUGAUACAGAGAAGAUUAGCAUGGCUCCUGCACAAGGAUGACACACAAUUCAUGAAGCAUUCCAUAUUUUU